ACCAGUUUACGGUUCCCCCUUCUUUCCCUCCAUUUCUGCUUUGUUUUUAUUCUCGAUUUUUAUUUCAUCUGCUGUAAGUUUCUAGGGUUUUUACAUCCAGAUAUCCAAUUUUCUGUUCUCCAGUCAUAUUGAAGCUUUUGGGUUCUUAUUGGUGGCUUUGCAUUUUAGCAUUUUAGAAGAUGAUCAAUUGCUCAUUGAUAUAGUUUUCGGAUUGUGGUCUUGUUUCAAGAUGCAAUUUCCUCGACAGCACAAGGCUGCUCGGUACAGAGGUGAACUCCCUGAAAGAUUUGGAAAACCUGUUUGCUAGGUAUAUUGUUUUUUUUUAGUUCCUACCAGAUUCUCAAGUGGUUAGUUUGUUUUUUGUUAUAUUGUUAUUAAGUGUUUUGUUUCUUUGGUGUGCUUUGGGAUUAAUGCAAUGUAAAGUCAUAAUGGAAUAAUAAAAGACCUUUGGCUUUUCCUUUCA